rnacentral:rRNA from 1 species
ACGGAAGGCAGCAGUGGGGAAUAUUGCACGAUGGGCGAAAGCCUGAUGUAGCGACGCCGCGUGAGCGAAGAAGUAUUUCGGUAUGUAAAGCUCUAUCAGCAGGGAAGAUAAUGACGGUACCUGACUAAGAAGCACCGGCUAAAUACGUGCCAGCAGCCGCGGUAAUACGUAUGGUGCAAGCGUUAUCCGGAUUUACUGGGUGUAAGGGAGCGUAGGCGGUAUGCUAAGUCUGAUGUGAAAGCCCGAGGCUCAACCUCGGUACUGCAUUGGAAACUGGUAAACUAGAGUGUCGGAGGGGUAAGUGGAAUUCCUAGUGUAGCGGUGAAAUGCGUAGAUAUUAGGAGGAACACCAGUGGCGAAGGCGGCUUACUGGACGAUAACUGACGCUGAGGCUCGAAAGCGUGGGGAGCAAACAGGAUUAGAUACCCUGGUA